CGUAGCUCAAUUGGUAGAGCAUCCGGCUGUUAACCGGAGGGUUGGCGGUUCGAGUCCGUCCGU
rnacentral:tRNA from 1 species